UACAGGGGGUGCAAACGUUGCUCGGAAUUAUUGGGCGUAAAGCGCGCGUAGGCGGCUACUUAAGUCGGAUGUGAAAGCCUUUGGCUCAACUGAGGAAGUGCACCCGAAACUGAGUGGCUAGAGUACGAAAGAGGGUCGCGGAAUUCCCGGUGUAGAGGUGAAAUUCGUAGAUAUCGGGAGGAACACCGGUGGCGAAGGCGGCGACCUGGGUCGAUACUGACGCUGAUGCGCGAAAGCGUGGGGAGCAAACAGG
rnacentral:rRNA from 1 species